rnacentral:rRNA from 1 species
GAUGAACGCUGGCGGCGUGCCUAAUACAUGCAAGUCGAGCGAACAGAUGAGGAGCUUGCUCCUCUGACGUUAGCGGCGGACGGGUGAGUAACACGUGGAUAACCUACCUAUAAGACUGGGAUAACUUCGGGAAACCGGAGCUAAUACCGGAUAAUAUAUUGAACCGCAUGGUUCAAUAGUGAAAGACGGUUUUGCUGUCACUUAUAGAUGGAUCCGCGCCGCAUUAGCUAGUUGGUAAGGUAACGGCUUACCAAGGCAACGAUGCGUAGCCGACCUGAGAGGGUGAUCGGCCACACUGGAACUGAGACACGGUCCAGACUCCUACGGGAGGCAGCAGUAGGGAAUCGUCCGCAAUGGGCGAAAGCCUGACGGAGCAACGCCGCGUAAGUGAUGAAGGUCUUCGGAUCGUAAAACUCUGUUAUUAGGGAAGAACAAAUGUGUAAGUAACUAUGCACGUCUUGACGGUACCUAAUCAGAAAGCCACGGCUAACUACGUG